rnacentral:hammerhead_ribozyme from 1 species
AUCCUGCUGACGAGUCCCAAAUAGGACGAAACGCGUGUCCUGGAU